AACGAACGCUGGCGGCAUGCCUAACACAUGCCAGUCGAACGAGACCUUCGGGUCUAGUGGCGCACGGGUGCGUAACGCGUGGGAACCUGCCCUUAGGGUCGGAAUAACUCCCCGAAAGGGGUGCUAAUACCGGAUAAUGUCUUCGGACCAAAGAUUUAUCGCCUUUGGAUGGGCCCGCGUUGGAUUAGCUAGUUGGUAGGGUAAAAGCCUACCAAGGCGACGAUCCAUAGCUGGUUUGUGAGGAUGAUCAGCCACACUGGGACUGAGACACGGCCCAGACUCCUACGGGAGGCAGCAGUGGGGAAUAUUGGACAAUGGGCGAAAGGCUGAUCCAGCAAUGCCGCGUGAGUGAUGAAGGCCUUAGGGUUGUAAAGCUCUUUUAACCGGGAUGAUAAUGACAGUACCGGGAGAAUAAGCUCCGGCUAACUCCGUG
rnacentral:rRNA from 1 species